GGAAAAUCCCCCGGAGAGGAGGAUCUGCCCGGCGGAGGGGAGCGAGUCCCCCAGCGCGGGGACAGGGCGGGCGGAGCGGGGCCUGGGCCAGGCCUGGUGCCUUUGUGCAAGGACGGGCCCCGGGCUGCCCAGGCUCCUGUGAGCAGGGGUGGAGCGGGGAGGCCGCAGCCCCCGCGGAACACCGGGCGCCCCCGGCCUCCAGCAGUGGGAAGCAGCCCGGGGGCUGACGCUCCCUGCAGGAGCCAGGAGCAAGCAAACAAGCAGCUUGAGUGCAGGCGCGGGGACGGGCCGGGGGUGCCUGCGGGUGAAAGGGCGGCUCAAAGGGACAGUCGCUGGAGGCCCGGUCUUGAGGAGGUGCCUGGAGCAGACCCGGGCUGGGCGCUGCGGGGGAGGGAGGAGGUUGCGGAGGCCGGCGGGCGGGAACGGGGAGGAAUUCCAGGUUUCAGGCAAAGAAAGACGGCAGGACUGGGGAAAAGGGAUCCUGGACAGGAGACUCCGCAGGAGGAAGGAGGGGGCCGGUGUUGACCCAAAGUAUUUUCUCUCAUGCCUGGCCACUCUGCCCUGGACCCUCAACCCAGCCGAAUAUGACACAUCUCCAGAAACCCAGCAGGCGCAAGCCGCAGGGUUGGCCUUAAAAUCCUGCUUAAACAGGAGACCCUGGAGGCCUGCUUCAGUGCCACCAGCCUAACCGCCAGGGCUCAUCAAAGACGCUGCCCAGAUGCAUUGAACGUAAGCAAGAUCAGCAAAGGUUUAUCUCAACUUCAGACUCACUCCCAGAAACUCACUCUUGGGAGCUCUCUGUGGAAUUGGGCCCCCCUUCUUCUGGUAUUAUGUUUUCAAAACUGACAGGGAUAUGAAAG
rnacentral:lncRNA from 1 species